GAGAGAUGCACCGACACAUCUCACACCAGAGAGAGCGCGCAUCUGUUCUGUCCGUGUAGCUACAUACAGCAGGUGACUGGCUGCGCAUUAAGAGAAAGACGUAAGAGGCCCUCAACAUAAGAAGACUGGAGGCCAUUGUUGGUUACGUGGUGGAGAAAUGUGGCUGCAACAAAGAAGAGGAUCUGAAGAUAGUUAAGUCAAAGCUGAAUGAAGACAAGGCCUCAAA